rnacentral:rRNA from 1 species
UACGAAGGGGGCUAGCGUUGUUCGGAUUUACUGGGCGUAAAGCGCACGUAGGCGGAUCGUUAAGUCGGGGGUGAAAUCCUGGAGCUCAACUCCAGAACUGCCUUCGAUACUGGCGAGUCUUGAGUCCGGAAGAGGUGAGUGGAACUCCUAGUGUAGAGGUGGAAUCCGUAGAUAUUAGGAAGAACACCAGUGGCGAAGGCGGCUCACUGGUCCGGUACUGACGCUGAGGUGCGAAAGCGUGGGAGCAACAGGG